AUGAUAGUAUAUAUAUUGUACCAAUUGAGCGAAUGCUAAUUAAAUCUCUCCCCAAAUUAUUAAAAAGAAAAUAUUUGAUGUAUGCUAUGAGAAUAUUAUCUAUUUGUAAAGGUUUUAAGCCUAAAUCUUGUCACCCAUCACUUUCAUCAUGUGAUAGCAAUCCUCUUAUUACUUCCAUUAUCACAUGCCACCAAAGAGCAUAUCAUAAACACCAAUGAUUUUUGACACAA
rnacentral:misc_RNA from 1 species